AUACUUACCUAGCAGGGGAAAUAAUGUGAUUUCGGAGAUGGUUUUUCCUGGGUGUGGUUCAUUCCUUGCACUUUGUGCUGAUCCCUGCGAUUUUCCCAAAUGUGGAUGACUCCACUGUAUAAUUUGUGGUGGUAGAGGACUGCGUUCGCACUUACUCAUG
ensembl:snRNA U1 U1 spliceosomal RNA